UACCUACUCCCUUCGUUUCACAAUACAUGUCUUUCAUUUAUCAAAAUAUAAAUGUAUCUAGACAUGUUUUAGUAUAUAGGUAUAUCCAUUUUUAGACAAAUGAAAGUCAAGUAUUUUGGAACGGAGGGAGUAAUAA
rfam:Triticum urartu cultivar G1812 contig724399, whole genome shotgun sequence.